rnacentral:rRNA from 1 species
GGAGUAUGGACCGUGUCUCAGUUCCAUUGUGGCCGUUCAUCCUCUCAGACCGGCUACCGAUCGUCGCCUUGGUGCACCUUUACUACACCAACUAGCUAAUCGGACGCAGGCUCCUCGCAAAGCGAUAAAUCUUUAGUACAGAAUCCAUGCGGACUCCGCACAACAUCCGGUAUUAGCGUCCCUUUCGGAACGUUGUCCCCGACUUUGCGGCAGAUUACCUGCGCUUUACUCACCCGUUCGCCACUAAACCCGAAGGUUCCGUUCGACUUGCAUGUGUUAAGCACGCCGCCAGCGUUCGUCCUGAGCCACGAUCAAACUACU